GACACAUAUGUGUUGACUUGACCUUGGUUUUGCCAAUGAAACACAUUCUCUUACAUGUACAUUGUAGGUCAAUGUUUUAAUCUAUGCAAGCCUCUCGUCAUGUCAUGGGGAUCAAAGAGUAUUUUUCUUCAAUUGGUUUCAAUUAAUACAAUACCCAAAACACCUGAUCAUAUUUAUGCCUCCACUGUAGCAGAGGUGCAUUAAGUUUUACUCUUGUCCGUGUGUACGUUCGUUUGUACCCAAGUAGGUUUCUCAUAGAUUAUUCAAAGAUUUAGAAUGUGUCAACAAAAACAUUCUCUGUAAACAAACUGAUUUUUUACAAAGAAAUUGAAUACAAUAGAAAACUGUUCCUGCCUGCCGUUACUGAUAAUUUUUAAAUGUUUGGGGGAAACCAACAUUUAUUUUUUCAAUGGCCUUAAAUGUAUGGAAAGCAAGACUGUCAAGAGGGAUAAACACACCAGCAUGUGAUACACCUCUGAUUCUGAGAAAACACUAUGGUCAAAAAAAUAUUACAGAAAAGCAUUAACUUUUUGAGUGUGCAGGAAACAUAAAACUGGAAUUUCUUCCAAACUAGAUUAUGUAUGUGUACUUAUUUUAUUGUCAGAUGAAUGUCCUGAUAAAUAUUAUUGUUUUUAAGUCAUAAGUCAUAAUUGAAAUGCUGUGGUUUAAUUUGGACAUAAAUAAGUCUAGGUAGGUUGUAAUUUGUACAUUUCAAAGUUUGUUGACAAUGUGUGUUACUAACUUUACUAAUACAAAGCAUGUUUUAUUUUAACAGUUGGCAUGUCUUACUUAAAAAACUGGAGAAAAUAUCAUACAGAGGCUGACCUUCUUGCUCAGUCCAGUGAAAGUGAGAACAAUGAACAAAAUCAAAAUGCUGUAGAUAGAUCAAGAACUGAUAGAAAUAAUUCUGCAUCUGAUAAACAUUUUUGCGAUGGUAAUGAUAGUAGUGAUUCCCUUGAUCACUCAUUUGUACCUGUUUAUACAAGUAGUAACGAAGAAUUAAGUUCUACAGAAUCAGAAUAUGACACUGAUGAAAGUGAAAAGGCAGAUGUUCCAGAUUUGGUUCAAGAUCUGUCAGAAUGGGCUACCAAAAACAACUGUACACGUUCUGGUUUAAAUGAUUUGCUCUCUAUUUUAAGAAAGCAAGGUCUACGCGUUCCGUGUGAUGCAAGGACCUUAUUGAAGACUCCAAGAUCAAUCGCGUCCAUACAGAAAUGUGGAGGUGAUUAUUUGUAUCUAGGUAUAGGAAGUGGACUGCUUAAAGUACUUGCCACUCAACAAGAAUAUUUUGAGAAAAGCAAAUGUAGAAAGUUAGCAUUAACAUUCAAUAUAGAUGGUGUCCCACUCUUUAAAUCUUCUGGAGUGCAAAUGUGGCCUAUUCUUUGUAGUAUUAAGAAUUUUGAGCCUUUUGUUGUUGCUCUUUUUUUGUGGAAAUGCAAAGCCUAGUACAGUAAAUGAAUACCUUGAUGAUUUUUUGCAUGAACUUUGUGCACUUAAACAAAAUGGAUUAAGGUUUAAUGAAACUGAUUUUAAUAUAGUUUUAGAAGCUAUGAUUUGUGAUGCGCCAGCAAGAGCUUUCUUGAAAUGCAUUAAAGGACACAAUGCUUAUUACAGCUGUGAAAGAUGUGUGAUAAAAGGCACAUGGAAGGGUCGAGUAGUGUUUAACAUUGGUGAUGAUUUACCUCCUUUGCGUUCUGAAGCAUAUUUCAAUAACUUUGAAUACAAUAAUCAUCAAGUUGGAUUAUCACCAUUAGUGCAUGCAGGUAUAUCUUGUAUUAAAAAUUUUCCACUGGACUACAUGCAUUUAGUUUGCUUAGGAGUGGUUAAGCGAAUUUUACAAUUUAUUAAACAAGGUCCAAGAGAGUGUAGACUUUCUCACCAGCAGAUUCAAGUUUUAUCUGAUCGUCUAAUGUCUUUAAAUGGGAAAAUGCCCAGAGAAUUUGCAAGACAACCACGCUCUUUGUAUUAUUUAGAUAGAUGGAAGGCUACCGAGUUCAGGCAAUUUUUAUUGUAUACAGGCCCAAUAGUUUUGCGCUCACUUGUCUCAAACCAACUGUAUGACCAUUUCCUGUCGUUGACAGUUGCUGUUUCAAUCCUCUUGGAAUCUAACGAUGAGCGUAGAAAUUCACUAGUUGAAUAUGCAAGAGAACUACUUGUAUAUUUUGUGCGAAACUGUCAUUUAAUUUAUGGAGAGACAUUUGUGUCUUACAAUGUCCACUCGUUAAUACAUUUGGCUGAUGACAUAAUGAACUACAACAAAUCAAUGAAUGAUUUAUGUGCUUUUCCAUUUGAAAACCAUUUGCAAAAACUAAAAAAGAAGGUAAAGAAAGCUCAAAAUCCAAUUGCUCAAGUAGCAAAACGAUUACAUGAAUUGGAAAAAGCAAAGUGUAGACAAAUACCACAAAAAAUCCAUAUAUAUGUAUCAACAAGAAAGAAGGACAGUUGUUUUUUAUUGAAAAACAAUAAGUUUGCCUUCAUAAAGGAGAAACGAAAUGACAAAUUUGUGUGUGAUGUUUUUGGACGACAUUAUUUAGAAAGCUUUUUUUCUAAACCAUGUGACUCUAAGAUAUUGGACAUUUUAGUGCUGAAAGAUAUAAGAAGAGGUUCACAGAGGAUUUUAUUGGACCGUAACGAUUUCCAGAGAAAGGUUGUUUGUCUACCUUUUGACAGAGGUUAUCUUCUAAUUCCGAUGCUGCACAGCAUGGAACGUUUCUAAACACUUCUAGAACAUGCUGAACUGUAAUUGUCAGCUUGGGAAACAGUCAACAUAAGGAAAAAGUGGUGUAGGGCAGUAUGGAUAGAAGAAGAUCAUGAAGAAGAAGGUGUAAUUCCUAUGAUUUGGACAGAUGGAUUAAAUUUUGUAAUGUGGCCAUCAUGGUCCAAAAAUAUAUCAAAAGUGGUGCAAGAAGGACGCCAACCAGAUGAUCGGUGGGAAAAAUUCAAGCUGAAAAAGAUCAAACAUAGAUCUGAUAGCAGAAGAGAGUGUGACCUAUAUGAUGACACAACAACUGCAGAAAUGUCUGUUGACGAUGAAAAUGAUGAUGAUGAUACUCAGGAGGUUUCAAAAAGAGUGUCCAAAAAAAAAGUGUAUGCUGAUUAUUUUGUUGAUAAUGACCAACCAGCUGUGGCACAGAGUCAGAAGAAUCCAAGAUGUAAAGGAAAAAAGAAAGUGAAUGACCACCCACCAAAUAUCAAAGAGGUACAAAUACCAAAGCUUCCAUACCACCAACACCUCCAUCCAAUAUAAAGGAUAGAAAUCAAGAUAAUGACAUGGCAGACACAACUGAAAGCUCGCCAAGAGGUCCAACACCACCACCAUCACAACCAUCCAGUACUCCUGAGAGAAAUCAAGGAAAAGAAGUCUCCAGUGAUGAUGAGUCGAUAUUAAGAAGUGGUUCCAAAGUCUUGUCAAGUUCUCAAAGGACUUCAUCUUCAUCCAAAUGUAAUAAGACUUCUGGCAGAUCAAGAUCAAAAUCAUCUAUUGAGCCUGGCAAUACAAACAAUACCCCAACGUCUUCAUGCCGUUCAGGCAAAUCCAGAUCAUCAAGACAGUCCCAAUCAUCAAGACAGUCCCAAUCAUCAAGACGGUCCCGAUCAUCCAGACGGUCACGAUCUUCAAGGCGGUCCCGAUCAUCAAGACGGUCCAGAUCAUCAAGACGGUCCCGAUCAUCAAGAAGGUCUAUAUCUUCAAGAAGGAGUAAAUGAUCUUCAAGGAGAUCAAGAAGUCAUCGUAGGGAGAGGUCUAGAUUUCCACCCUACAGGGCCGUUCCAUCUUCAUCUAGAAGACUUCC